GAUGAACGCUAGCGGCAGGCCUAAUACAUGCAAGUCGAACGGUGUCUUCGGACAUAGUGGCGCACGGGUGCGUAACACGUAUGCAACCUACCUUACAUUGGGGGAUAGCCUUUCGAAAGGGAGAUUAAUACCGCAUAAGACAGUAGCUGGGCAUCCAGCAGCUGUUAAAGAUUUAUCGAUGUAAGCUGGGCAUGCGUCCAAUUAGCUAGUUGGUGAGGUAACGGCUCACCAAGGCAAUGAUUGGUAGGGGAACUGAGAGGUCAAUCCCCACAGUGGCACGGAGGUACGGGCCAGACUCCUCCGGGAGGCAGCAGUAGGGAAUAUUGGGCAAUGGACGCAAGUCUGACCCAGCCAUGCCGCGUGCAGGAUGAAGGCGUUAUGCGUUGUAAACUGCUUUUAUACAGGAAGAAACGACUCUUGCGAGAGGCAUUGACGGUACUGUAUGAAUAAGCACCGGCUAACUCCGUGCCAGCAGCCGCCGUAAAAC
rnacentral:rRNA from 1 species